rnacentral:rRNA from 1 species
GACGGACGCUGGCGGCGUGCCUAAUACAUGCAAGUCGAACGAAGCUGUUUUAACUGGUGCUUGCACCGACUUAAACAACUGAGUGGCGAACGGGUGAGUAACACGUGGGUAACCUGCCCCAAAGCGGGGGAUAACAUUUGGAAACAGAUGCUAAUACCGCAUAACCACAGAAACCACAUGGUUUCUGUGUCAAAGAUGGUUUCGGCUAUCGCUUUGGGAUGGACCCGCGGCGUAUUAGCUAGUUGGUAAGGUAAUGGCUUACCAAGGCAAUGAUACGUAGACGAACCGAGAGGUUGAUCGGCCACAUUGGGACUGAGACACGGCCCAAACUCCUACGGGAGGCAGCAGUAGGGAAUCUUCCACAAUGGACGAAAGUCUGAUGGAGCAACGCCGCGUGAGUGAAGAAGGUUUUCGGAUCGUAAAACUCUGUUGUCAGAGAAGAACGUGUGCGAGAGUAACUGCUCGUGCAGUGACGGUAUCUGGCCAGAAAGCCACGGCUAACUACGUGCCAGCCGCCGCGGUAA